AGUGAACGUUGGCGGCGUGGAUUAGGCAUGCAAGUCGAGCGAGAACCGUAGCAAUACGGGGACAGCGGCGAAAGGGACAGUAAUGUGUAGGUACCUACCUCCGGGUUCGGGAUAGCUGCGGGAAACUGCAGGUAAUACCGAAUAACGUCUCCGGACCAAAGGUGUGAUUCCACCUGGAGAGGGGCCUGCAUCCUAUUAGCUUGUUGGCGGGGUAACGGCCCACCAAGGCGACGAUGGGUAGCGGGUGUGAGAGCACGACCCGCGUCACUGGGACUGAGACACUGCCCAGACACCUACGGGUGGCUGCAGUCGUGAAUCUUCGGCAAUGGGCGCAAGCCUGACCGAGCGACGCCGUGUGCGGGAUGAAGGCCUUCGGGUUGUAAACCGCUGUCGUAGAGGAGGAAAUGCAGGGGGGUUCUCCCCUCUGUUUGACCUAUUCUAGGAGGAAGUACGGGCUAAGUUCGUGCCAGCCGCCGCAGUAA
rnacentral:rRNA from 1 species